AUUGAACGCUGGCGGCAGGCCUAACACAUGCAAGUCGAGCGGAGCGGCGGACGGGUGAGUAAUGCCUAGGAAUCUGCCUGGUCGUGGGGGAUAACGUCCGGAAACGGGCGCUAAUACCGCAUACUAUCAGAUGAGCCUAGUGCGGAUUAGCUAGUUGGUGGGGUAUAGGCCUACCAAGGCGACGAGGCGUAACGGGGCUUAGAGGAUGAUCAGUCAGAAGUGAACUGAGACACGGUGCAGACUCGUACGGGAUGCAGCAUGUGGGAAUAUUGGACAAUGGGCGAAAGCCUGAUCUAGCCAUGCCGCGUGUGUGAAGAAGGUCUUCGGAUUGUAAAGCACUGUAAGUUGGGAGGCGGUACCAACAGAAUAAGCACCGGCUAACUUCGUGCCAGCAGCCGCGGUAAUAC
rnacentral:rRNA from 1 species